CGGACGGAGACAGAAGGGAAGGAGGGAGCGGAUUGGUUGCAGCCAAACUGAAAGCGAAAACCUCGUCGUCUACUGAAAGUGUGCAGCCACUGGUGUGUGUGUUUUAGGCGUGACUCCAAAGGCAGAGGGUGACUCAGCGCUGGUACAGUCUGUCCUAUGUGUCUGUCUCCCCUGCAUCUGGUCCAUCCUGGCAGAGCGUGCAUGUCGCCUGUCCGCCACCAGCUCCCUAUGCUGACACAGUCUGUCCUCCACCACCCUCGCUGCCUCCCGUCUCUCCUUCCCCGAGAAUAAGCUCAUCAAAGUUCAGUGCUUCUAUGGUAAGAGAAGGUACAAUUAAAUAAGUAACUCAUUCUGUCUUUUAUCCUAAAAUGAUGUUACCCUUAAAAUAAGUCGGUAGUCAUUCUGUCUUUUUCCUACCUGGAAAAAAAAGACAACAACACAUAAUAGCCUCUAAAAUGUUUUAUGUGUGACACUAAAUUAUGACACAGAGCAA